rnacentral:rRNA from 1 species
CGCGAAUUGCCCUUCGGGGUGCGCAGGCGCGAAAACUCCACAAUGCGCGAAAGCGUGAUGGGGUUAACCCGAGUGCCGUCCGAUGAGGAUGGCUUUUCUUCAGUUUAAGGAUCUGGAGGAAUAAAGGGGGGGCAAGACUGGUGUCAGCCGCCGCGGUAAUACCAGCCCCCUGAGUGGUAGGGACGAUUAUUUGGCCUAAAGCGUCCGUAGCCUGUUUGGGAAGUCUUUCGUUAAAUCCGACGAUUCCAUCGUUGGGACGCGGAAGAUACUGCCAGACUUGAGGACGGGAGAGGUCGACGGUAGUCCUAGGGUAGGGGUGAAAUCCUAUAAUCCUAGGAGGACCACCAGUGGCGAAGGCGGUCGACUAGAACGUGCCUGACGGUGAUGGACGAAAGCUGGGGGAGCGAACCGGAUUAGACACCCGGGUAGUCCCAGCUGUAAACGAUGCGAGCUAGGUGUUGGAGCAACUACGAGUUGCUCCAGUGCCGCAGAGAAGUUGUUAAGCUCGCCGCCUGGGAAGUACGGCCGCAAGGCUGAAACUUAAAGGAAUUGGCGGGGGAGCAC